CUACGGGAUGCUGCAGUGAGGAAUAUUGCGCAAUGGGGGAAACCCUGACGCAGCGACGCCGCGUGGAUGAUGAAGGCCUUCGGGUCGUAAAAUCCUGUCAGAAGGAAAGAAGUAUAUGGUAGCUAAUAUCUGCCAUAUUUGACGGUACCUUCAAAGGAAGCACCGGCUAACUCCGUGCCAGCAGCCGCGGUAAUACGGAGGGUGCACGCGUUGUUCGGAAUUACUGGGCGUAAAGCGCGCGUAGGCGGCUGUUUAAGUCAGAUGUGAAAGCCCAUGGCUUAACCAUGGACGUGCAUUUGAUACUGGGCAGCUUGAGUACUGGAGGGGGUGGUGGAAUUCCCGGUGUAGAGGUGAAAUUCGUAGAUAUCGGGAGGAAUACCGGUGGCGAAGGCGACCACCUGGCCAGAUACUGACGCUGAGGUGCGAAAGCGUGGGGAGCAAACAGGAUUAGAUACCCGAGUAGUC
rnacentral:rRNA from 1 species